CUUGUCUCCACUUUGUUCACCUUGCUGCUGAUUGCAUGAGGGACGAGGGGCCCUGUGCAACUUGCCCUGGUGCAUUUUAUUCCUUCAGACGGUUGGGGUAAGCCAUACAGUCCCCAUUGCACAGCAUUGGAGAUGAAGAGUGAGGAAUUCAUGGACCUGUUGAAAUGAUCAAACAACAUACUUAUUUCUGAAACACAUAAAAAUAUAGUACAUAGUCCCCAACAUAUGAUGUUCACACAAGGGUCUUCCAUGGACUCGAGUGAAGCGACUGGGAGCCCUGCUGCUGAUCUGACUUUCUCCUGCACAGACACCGACUCAGCUCAGAUCUUCACACGUUCACUCCUUCCACCCCACCCACACAAUGGAAUGAGAACAUCUGGCCCUCAGAAACGAUGCAACUGUUAAUUUUACAAAACAAGUGCAAUGCUAUUUACAGGAGAGACAAAGCCUUAGAGAAUGCUUCCAGCUGGUGAAGAUGACUCACUGUGUAGGCAGCUAGUGUUAGAUCAGGCCAUUCUUUUCUUAGUUAAAAUUAAAUUUUCAUAUGUCUCUGCAAACAGACAAAUUAUGAAUAUGCUGGGCCAAAUUCUGCACUCAAAUGCUCACAUUCAUUGCUCACUGAAAUCAGAAGAUGCACGUGAGAAUCUGAGGGCUGAAUUUGACCCAAGAAUUCUACCUAUUAACCUACAAGUUAUUUUUACUGGGUUUGCAUUUUGUACCUAAUAGAGAAAGAAAAAAAUAUUCAUGUUACAAUGCUUAAUAGGAGACUCAGCUAAGUUUUAACUACUGAUUGGACAGUUUGCUAAAUAUUACAAUGCUAGGUGUUAUAGAAAAACCAUUAAUAGGUGAGAUAGACAGAAAUUAGCUAUUGUAUGUGGUGACAUUUUUCUUUAGCUAAAGCUUCAAAAUGUCUUUUAAUUUCUAAUGCAAGCUAAAUUUGAACCAAAAAGUUAACACUUUCACUUGAAUUAUUUAUCUAUUAAGCCUACAAUAUGUGGGCUUUAACAAUUUCUUACCUGGAUUAGUUGUAAAAAUGGUUUUUGAUAUAACAGUCGCAGUCAUGCAGUUUCUAAAUUUGUCAAAAUUUAUUCUCAGCUCUGAUGCAAAUAUUACUGGACACAAAAACAUAAUUCGUUGUUAUUUUAAAUAAGUAUCACACUAAAGAUAAAAAACAGCAGAAAUCUUUCACAACAACAUAGAAAAGGGAUACCUGUUUCUCGUGGCAUCCAACUCUGCACAAGCUGGAUAGAUUCAUUAUCCCAACUAAAUUAAAAAAAAAACUGUUUAUUUAAUAGUGAAAGCAUUGGGAACAUGGGUGACAAAAUAUGAAAAAUAGUAGGGAUUAGCAUUUAUGCCAUUAAGGAGCAUUUAUUCCCCUCAUUCCUCCCCAAAAUAUUAAACAAAGAUCUAAUUAUAGGUGAAAAUGGUCAGAAUGAGCCCAGUCCAGUCUUUAAUUGUGCAUGAACACGUCUGUGUGCAUACCAUUAUUUGUAUAUGCAAACUACUGGGUUUAUAUAACCUGUAUUUGUAUGCUAUGUGCACAAGCACAAAUGCUUUUGGGUGUACAGAUUAUCUCACCUGUACACCCAAAUGGUUAUGCAAACACAACUACAGGCAUAUUUUGAAAAUAUAGCCCAUCAAGUAACUACAAAACUGUCCUUAGUUAUUUCUAAGUGUUUGUUUUCAUUUUAAACCCAUUUUACCCUAACUCCACUUCCCCUUAUUAAUUCUGCUUUAGUCUUUUAUCAUCUUUUAUAUUUCCUUUUUAACUGUUUGGUUUGUGGAGGAAAUGCACUGCACCUACAGCUAUUUUAAAAUGGCAAGUGCUACAUAAAUGCAUAUCUAAUAGUAUGUUUACUUUAUAUUUGCUAGGAGAUUUAAUUAUAAAACUGUUUACCUGUGAAUGUGCUGAUAGGCAUGUAUAAGUACAUUCAUGCAAAGGUAGACCUAUGUUUGGGAGCAAACAAUACACCUCUUUGCAUAAAUAAAAUGUCUAUUGGUCUGAUUGGCAACAGUUUCUUUAUUAUUCCAUACCAUUGAUGACCUUUCAUCAUUUAUUUGUAGCUCAGCUUCACUCUGACACUCUUGAGCUGUAGGUUUGUCAAUAACUCAUAGAAAUAGAGAACA